CACUGCGAUUGAGAAGAAAAACUUCUUACUCAGAAAUGGGUGAUCUGAAUUUGAGUUGAAAAUCUGCUACUCCUUAACUCUGUAUCCAAGUUACUACUGGAGCUCCAAGAGCAUCAGUAUCAUCUGUGAAGGAAUCUGAUGCCAAGAGGACUGAACUCCACUUUCUGCGGCUGCUGCCGUGGCCGCCACCACCAGGGCCGAGGAACUGAGUCUUUGAACAACCAGUGGCCACCCGGCCUCGGUCAUUUAAGCACAAAGGCAGAAUAGCCGAGACUCAGUGGACCUCUCUUGUCAGCUUCAACAUUUGCCAGCCAUAGUCAUUCAACUCCAAGAUCUCCGCUCUAUGCCACAGUAGCUAUAAAAAGUGAGGGAUGAGCCUAUUGGUCUGCUGAGCGGAACAGCCAACAGAACAUCAAAGAGCCGUGCUCGAGGGAUGUUUACGGCUAAGGAGGUUCCGCGGGGCACUGCUUCAAGGACAUGAAGUCCAUCCAUCUCUCCAGAUGGAAAACCCAGACCGGAAACACAAGAUGGCACAAAUCUUUCCAGUCUGUAAGUGAAGGUAAAAGGGCUCCCAGGUCAGGGUCACGUGACUUCUCCAGACAGGGAAGCUUUCGUGGGAGGGAGGUUACGCACGCAAAAUCCCCCUGGAGGAUGGCCAGCCCACCGCUAGCUAGUGUCGCUGAGCCUUGCCACAAUUUAUUACAGGCUUUCACAAUUGAUACUGAAAGGACUUUAGUGGUAUUUCCUCACUUACUUUCCACAUUUUCUCAAUACGUAGAUUGUCUAAACGUACAAGUGUUGAUGCUUCUGUCAGUCGGUGUUAUCUAGUUGCUCCAAGCAGCUUUCCUAGUUCAUUAUCAGCAGUGUAUCUGAUGUCACACCACGAAGCUUCUGAAGCCUGGUAACGUAUCCAUCCGUAAAUCGAGAACCUGGAGCGGGGGAGGGGGGUGUUAUUCAGAAGAGAGAAGGAAUUGUGACCGUUCAGCAGAAUGUUGAUUACAAGUUUAAUUCAAGUUACAUGCAUUGGUGAUUCAGUCCUACAAAACAAGGUGUUUAGGUUAUUAGAUGCCUAAGUGACCUUCUCUUUCCCUGUUUAUGUUAAUAGAUAGUGUGUCUGACGCAGAGUGUUAUUAGAUAGUUUUGCUCAGUUUUCAGAAAAGACCGUGAAUACACAAAUCAGCAGAGGCCAGAUCCUAUGCCCUUCAUAAUGACUAGCGACCAACAAAUCCAUCAUGAAUCUAUUAAAACCGUAUGCCCUGGGAGCAUUACUAGCAAAUUUCACAGUCUGAAUUCUUACCAAGGUGGGAAAUUUUAUGGAUUUCGCUGUUAACAUAAUAUGCAACCUGAUAGUCACGUGAAAAUGUAAUCACAAGCUAUAGUUUUCUUGUUAUUAACUCAAAUUAGGAUAUUGUAUCUAUUUUACUAGAUUUCAAAAAAUCUAAAACUGUUGCAUCUGUAGUUUUAGAUAUAUUUAUAUGUUAUAGUUGGCUUUAAACACUAGUUAAAUUUUAUAUUUAAUGUCUUACUACAGCUGUAGGGGGCUGUUCAUGCAUACUAAGCCUGGUUUGUGGUACUACGAGUAUCUUUGUAAAAAUGACUUACAAAGAAUGAUUCUAUUAUAAAAAUAUAACUAUUAUUGCUAUACUCCGA